rnacentral:pre_miRNA from 1 species
AACAUACUCCCUCCGUCCGGAAAUACUUGUCGGAGAAAUGAAUGUAUUCUCCGACAAGUAUUUCCGGACGGAGGGAGUAGUAC